AUUGAACGCUGGCGGCAGGCCUAACACAUGCAAGUCGAGCGGAUAAAGGGAGCUUGCUCCUGGAUUCAGCGGCGGACGGGUGAGUAAUGCCUAGGAAUCUGCCUGGUAGUGGGGGAUAACGUCCGGAAACGGGCGCUAAUACCGCAUACGUCCUGAGGGAGAAAGUGGGGGAUCUUCGGACCUCACGCUAUCAGAUGAGCCUAGGUCGGAUUAGCUAGUUGGUGGGGUAAAGGCCUACCAAGGCGACGAUCCGUAACUGGUCUGAGAGGAUGAUCAGUCACACUGGAACUGAGACACGGUCCAGACUCCUACGGGAGGCAGCAGUGGGGAAUAUUGGACAAUGGGCGAAAGCCUGAUCCAGCCAUGCCGCGUGUGUGAAGAAGGUCUUCGGAUUGUAAAGCACUUUAAGUGGGGAGGAAGGGCAGUAAGUUAAUACCUUGCUGUUUUGACGUUACCAACAGAAUAAGCACCGGCUAACUUCGUG
rnacentral:rRNA from 1 species